AUUGAACGCUGGCGGCAGGCUUAACACAUGCAAGUCGGACGGUAGCACAGAGGAGCUUGCUCCUUGGGUGACGAGUGGCGGACGGGUGAGUAAUGUCUGGGGAUCUGCCCGAUAGAGGGGGAUAACCACUGGAAACGGUGGCUAAUACCGCAUAACGUCGCAAGACCAAAGAGGGGGACCUUCGGGCCUCUCACUAUCGGAUGAACCCAGAUGGGAUUAGCUAGUAGGCGGGGUAAUGGCCCACCUAGGCGACGAUCCCUAGCUGGUCUGAGAGGAUGACCAGCCACACUGGAACUGAGACACGGUCCAGACUCCUACGGGAGGCAGCAGUGGGGAAUAUUGCACAAUGGGCGCAAGCCUGAUGCAGCCAUGCCGCGUGUAUGAAGAAGGCCUUCGGGUUGUAAAGUACUUUCAGCGGGGAGGAAGGCGGUGCGGUUAAUAACCGCACCGAUUGACGUUACCCGCAGAAGAAGCACCGGCUAACUCCGUGCCAGCAGCCGCCGUAA
rnacentral:rRNA from 1 species